GACGAACGCUGGCGGCGUGCCUAAUACAUGCAAGUCGAACGAGAGCGACCGGUGCUUGCACUGGUCAAUCUAGUGGCGAACGGGUGAGUAACACGUGGGUAACCUGCCCAUCAGAGGGGGAUAACAUCCGGAAACGGAUGCUAAAACCGCAUAGGUCUUCGAGCCGCAUGGCUUGAAGAGGAAAAGAGGCGCAAGCUUCUGCUGAUGGAUGGACCCGCGGUGCAUUAGCUAGUUGGUGAGGUAACGGCUCACCAAGGCCGUGAUGCAUAGCCGACCUGAGAGGGUGAUCGGCCACAUUGGGGCUGAGACACGGCCCAAACUCCUACGGGAGGCAGCAGUAGGGAAUCUUCCGCAAUGGACGCAAGUCUGACGGAGCAACGCCGCGUGAGUGAAGAAGGUGUUCGGAUCGUAAAACUCUGUUGUUAGAGAAGAACAAGUGCUAGAGUAACUGUUAGCGCCUUGACGGUAUCUAACCAGAAAGCCACGGCUAACUACGUG
rnacentral:rRNA from 1 species